rnacentral:misc_RNA from 1 species
UAGGGAGACCUACCCAUUUAGAUAUCGAAAGCAAUGAGUAAAUAGAUACUAAACUGGUCUACUCUAGGUCGGUCGAGAUUGGUUAGUUCUCUUUCAAAGUAUUAUUAAAGCUCUGGUCAAAUUCAGCAACUAGGUAAACCCUAGACUGCUGGGUAAAUACCAGCCAGAACCUUGAAAACUGCAUAGUAACGCGAGGCAGUUCAGUAAUCUAGUGCUUUAGCAGCAGAUAACUGAAAUGAAAAAAACCAAUGUAAAGU